UACGAAGGGUGCAAGCGUUACUCGGAAUUACUGGGCGUAAAGGGUGCGUAGGCGGUUCUUUAAGUCUGUCGUGAAAUCCCCGGGCUCAACCUGGGAAUGGCGAUGGAUACUGGCGAGCUAGAGUGUGUCAGAGGAUGGUGGAAUUCCCGGUGUAGCGGUGAAAUGCGUAGAGAUCGGGAGGAACAUCAGUGGCGAAGGCGGCCAUCUGGGACAACACUGACGCUGAAGCACGAAAGCGUGGGGAGCAAACAGG
rnacentral:rRNA from 1 species